GGGCCCAUAGCUCAGUUGGUCAGAGCAGCGGACUCAUAAUCCGUUGGUCCCAGGUUCGAGUCCUGGUGGGCCCA
rnacentral:tRNA from 1 species